AAUUAAUAUAAUUGUUUUUUUUUGUUAUUUAAAUGUAAAUUUAAAUUAAAUAAAUUUUAGUUGGUGUAUAAUUUAUAAAUAAAAUAUUUUUUACUAUAGUGAAUUAGUACUGUGAAGGAAAUUUAAAUUAAUUACAUAUAAUUAAAAGAAGGUAAUUUUAUUGAUUGUAUCUUGUGUAUCAGAGUAUAUUAAAAUAUGUUAUAUAUUUUUUUCUUCUCGAAUUUGAAAGAUUUAAUUAAAAAUGUUAGUUUUUGUAUCAUAAAAAUUAAAAAUUUUUGGUUAGUAAUGAAAUGUUAUUCGUUUUCAAGGAUAUCUAGUUUUUUAAUAAACGAAUUUAAUUCGAAGUAUAUAAAUUAUUUAAUGUAUUUUAAUUUAAAUAUUUUUUAUACUUAAUUUUGAAAGGGAUAAUCUUUUUUAAAGAUAAUUAUAAUAGUGAUUAGUUUAGAGGAUUUUAUAAAUUUAGAAUUUGUUAAUAAUUAAAGGAUGUUAAAAUUUAAUUCUUAUUUUAAAAGAUUUUUAAUUUUUAUUUAAUUUUUAUAUUAAAAUGUUAAAAUGAACAUAGAAAUUUUUGAAAUUAUGAUUUAAUUAGUAAAAUUUUAAUUUAUUCAUUAUGAUAAAUUGUAAUGUUAAUAUAAAGAAUUAGGCAAAUACUUUACUCGCCUGUUUAUUAAAAACAUGGUUUCUUGAUUAUAUUUAGGAAAUUUAACCUGCCCACUGAAACAUUUUUGAAGGGCCGCAGUAUCUUGACUGUGCAAAGGUAGCAUAAUCAUUAGUCUUUUAAUUAAGGGCUGGUAUGAAUGGUUGGACGAGGUAAAUUCUGUUUUAUAUUAAUUGAAAUUGAACUUAGAUUUUAAGUUAAAAUACUUAAAUGUUAUUAAGGGACGAGAAGACCCUAUAGAGUUUAAUAAGUUUAAUAAUUAAUUGAGUUAAUAAUUAAUUUUUAGUUUUUAUGGAGCUUAUUUAAUUGGGGUGAUUAAAAGAUAUAAAUAACUCUUUUUUAAUAUUAAUAUUAUUAAUAGCUUUAUGAUCCAUUAAUAAUGAUUAAAAGAUUAAAUUACCUUAGGGAUAACAGCAUAAUUUUUUUUGAGAGUUCAUAUCGAAAAAAGAGAUUGUGACCUCGAUGUUGGAUUAAGAUUAGUUUUGGGUGCAGAUGUUCAUAAACUAGGUCUGUUCGACCUUGAAAAUCUUACAUGAUCUGAGUUUAAACCGGCGUGAGCCAGGUUGGUUUCUAUCUUUAAUUUAAUUAAAUAUCUUAGUACGAGAGGACCAGAUAUUUAAAAUAAUUUUUUAAUAAUUGAAUACUAUUAAUAA
rnacentral:rRNA from 1 species